GCUCGGAUAGCUCAGUUGGUAGAGCACAGAACCGAUAAUUCUGAUGUCGAUGGUUCGAGCCCAUCUCUGAGUUCCA
rnacentral:tRNA from 1 species